rnacentral:tRNA from 3 species
GGGCGGUUAGUUCAAUGGUAGAACGCUUGCUUGACGUGCAUGAGAAAAAGGUUCGAUUCCUUUACCGCCCACCA